rnacentral:rRNA from 1 species
UAACGCGUAGGUAACCUGCCUGGUAGCGGGGGGUAACUAUUGGAAACGAUAGCCAAUACCGCAUAAGAACAUUUACUGCAUGGUAGAUGUUUAAAAGGUGCAAAAGCAUCACUACCAGAUGGACCUGCGUUGUAUUAGCUAGUUGGUGAGGUAACGGCUCACCAAGGCAACGAUACAUAGCCGACCUGAGAGGGUGAUCGGCCACACUGGGACUGAGACACGGCCCAG